CCUACGGGUGGCAGCAGUGGGGAAUCUUCCGCAAUGGGCGCAAGCCUGACGGAGCAACGCCGCGUGAGUGAAGAAGGUCUUCGGAUCGUAAAGCUCUGUUGAAGGGGACGAACGAUCGAGGGGCGAACAGGCUCUCGGUAUGACGGUACCUUUUGAGGAAGCCACGGCUAACUACGUGCCAGCAGCCGCGGUAAUACGUAGGUGGCGAGCGUUGUCCGGAAUCAUUGGGCGUAAAGGGAGCGCAGGCGGCCAUGUAAGUCUUGCUUAAAAGUUCGGGGCUCAACCCCGUGAUGGGCAAGAAACUAUAUGGCUUGAGUGCAGGAGAGGAAAGCGGAAUUCCCAGUGUAGCGGUGAAAUGCGUAGAUAUUGGGAGGAACACCAGUGGCGAAGGCGGCUUUCUGGACUGCAACUGACGCUGAGGCUCGAAAGCCAGGGGAGCGAACGGGAUUAGAUACCCUGGUAGUC
rnacentral:rRNA from 1 species